UACGGAGGAUCCAAGCGUUAUCCGGAUUUAUUGGGCGUAAAGAGCUCGUAGGCGGUUUGUCACGUCGGGAGUGAAAACUCGGGGCUCAACCCCGAGCCUGCUUCCGAUACGGGCAGACUAGAGGUAUGCAGGGGAGAAUGGAAUUCCUGGUGUAGCGGUGAAAUGCGCAGAUAUCAGGAGGAACACCGGUGGCGAAGGCGGUUCUCUGGGCAUUACCUGACGCUGAGGAGCGAAAGUGUGGGGAGCGAACAGG
rnacentral:rRNA from 1 species